GUCAACACCACCUCAUAAGAUUACCUGCUGCAGUUGUUCGAGAGAUGUCCUGUUUGCAGCCGAACACGCAGCACAGAGAAAAGCAGCAGGGGGCCCCUCAUCAACAUCAUGCAGACAUGCCUUCACUUAUCUUUGAUGAGGGGCCAGAAGCUGAUCUAUGCUGCUCUGGUAAAGACCUUACCUCCAACCUCACCUCUUGCCUGCUCGCCAACAGUCGUCGUGGGGUGAACAGAACAGAGUUAAGUAGGUUUAGUUUGACCUGUUCAAACUUCAACAUAGUAUAUGUUUGUCUGUCAAAUAUCACCUAUCCCUAACUGCCAUUGGUAACAGAACAGUGACUGUGUGUGUGUUCACCGAGGCAUGAGAUGCAGAGAGACCUGGUACUCAAUAUUUCCACUCAACACAUCCACUAUGAGAUGGACUGGAAAUGCUUUAGCCAGACGACAGCCUCAGUCGUUUGAUGGGGAGACCAUCAUUGGGUAGGUUUUAUCUGACCUGUUCAAACUUCUACAUAGUACCUGUUUGUGUGUCAGAUAUCACCUAUCCUUACUGCC